AGACGCGCUCGUUCACUCGAGAACUAAAACGGUUGUCGAUGCUUUUCAUGUGAAACACCACCAACUGAACGACCGUUUUACGAAAGCAAGACGAAUAUGAAUUUUCCGCGUGUGCGCAAAUUGUAUUUUAAAAUGUAAAAAGAAAGCUGCAAACAUGGUUUUAACCUUAAAAUAAUCAAAUAGCCACCUAAAAACGCAGCAUUGGAACCGCCAAAAUAUUGAAAAGGUUUACAAUUACUUAACAAAUAAAGUGACUUUUGUGUUAUAAUCAGUGUAAGGAAAAAAGUAAAAAAAAAUUAAACCAUUUCACGCGCCGGUAUUUCAACUAAUUAUGCAUUUUAAAAUUUAGUUUAAACCUUCAUCGACUUAUUGGCCAUUUGCUCUACUUACAAACAAAUUUCUGGUACAAUGAAGAAAAGCGAAACGAGAAAUCAAAACAUGAUUUGGAUCGGAAAACUAAUAAGAUGUAAAAAUAAAGUGUUCCAAGCAAAAUACUUACAUAAUUAAAACUCGAAAACAGUGGAAAACGAAUUAUUACAAAUUGGUGAGAAUACUCCAAAUUAUUCUUCUGUAGGAACGAAUUGUCAAAAAAAUGCAGCAGAUUCUCGGUCUUUAAUUGACAACAAUACAUAAGUACUACAAAAUUUACAACAUUCAAUGAAAAUGAUAAAACAUUAAAUAAAAAAGAAAACAGUGUGAGUAUAACAGAAUAGAGCUGCAAAACUAUCGAUUGUACUAUCGAUAGUAUCUAUAGUUUUAUUUUUAGAAAAACACCGAUUAUUUUCUGGCGAUAGUCGAUAGUUUCAAUAGUGCCGGUGCAUUGAAAUUUUGUGAUCUUUUCUUAAAUAAGUGACGAUAUAAAUUUAACUAAGGACAAUAUUUAGAAUUUCACGUUUAAGAUGUAAUAUUUAUACUUACAUAUGUGAAAUAUUUACAUUUACAUAUGUACAUAUGUAUAUAUUACACACAUUUUGUUCGGAGUUGAAGUUUCCCUACAUAUACAACACGAUAGUAUACGAUACUAUCGAAAAUAUCGAUAGUAUUUUUCAAACUAUCGAAACUAUCGAUAGUUUUGCAGCUCUAUAACAGAACCAUCGUGGAAUAAUACAAGGUGAAGUAAUAAGAGCGAGAAGGAAGAUUUGACACUACUUUAUUGGAAGUGUUCGCCCCUAUUUGAAAAAUAAAGGAGCCAUUUAAAUUAACUAAAUUUAAGCAUAAUUUAUUAUUUUUUAUUCACCAAACAAUUUUAGUAUUGAAAGACAAACACUAACAAUAACAAAGAGCUUUAAGGUUUUACAGUCAAUGUAAUAAAUAAUAAUUAGAAAAUUAAAUAAAGAUUUUGACGCUAAUAAGAGUACUAAAUGAUGAUGUACUAAAUCCACGGAAUAGUUCACACAAAGAGAAGCAAUCCAGAACGUAGAUACUGAAGACCACCCAGAAUGAGAAGUGUCUGUAUCAUUCUAGAUAAAAGGUCCAACUACGGUUUCAAAACACCAUGUUAAUGCCGCACAAACUAAUAUUUUUAUGCAAAAAAAUAUGUUAAA